CCUUAAUUCACAGGGAAUUGAAUCAUCGAGCUCUGUAGCAGAUAUAAAGAAGGCAUACCGAAAAGCUGCAUUGAGACAUCACCCAGAUAAGGCUGUUCAGAUCUUGGUCAGGAGCGAAAAUCUUGACAAGCUUCGGAGAGAAGUGGCUGAAGAAGUCCAUAGGGAUGCUGAUAGAUUGUU